CAGUGACUCUGUUCAACGGCCGCGGGUAUCCUAACCGUGCGAAGGUAGCGUAAUCACUUGUUCUUUAAAUGAGGACUAGUAUGAAUGGCUCCACGAAGGUUACACUGUCUCCUCUUUCUAAUCAGUGAAACUAAUCUCCCCGUGAAGAAGCGGGGAUGAUAAUAUAAGACGAGAAGACCCUAUGGAGCUUUAAACAAAGUAACACACGCUUUUUAACACUACUAUCCCAGCGUACAAAAUAGUAAUUCUGCCUGCUGUUAACUAGUUUUAGGUUGGGGUGACCGCGGAGCAUAAAACAACCUCCAUAUUGGAUGGGAAUUUCCCUGAGCCACGAACUACAACUCUAUGCACCAACAUAUUGACAUCCAUUGACCCAAUUUAUUUGAUCAACGAACCAAGUUACCCUAGGGAUAACAGCGCAAUCCGCUUCAAGAGCUCCUAUCGACAAGCGGGUUUACGACCUCGAUGUUGGAUCAGGGUAUCCCAGUGGCGCAGCCGCUACUAAAGGUUCGUUUGUUCAACGAUUUAAACCCUACGUGAUCUGAG
rnacentral:rRNA from 1 species